rnacentral:misc_RNA from 1 species
AACGCACAUUGCGCCCGCCAGUAUUCUGGCGGGCAUGCCUGUCCGAGCGUCAUUUCAACCCUCGGGCGACCGCUUUGCCGCGGGAGCCCGGCGUUGGGGAUCGGCCGUCGUUAGUGGCGGCCGGCCCCGAAAUCUAGUGGCGGUCUCGCUGUAGCUUCCUCUGCGUAGUAACAUCUCGUCUCGCAGUCUGGAGAGCGGCGCGGCCAUGCCGUAAAACCCCCGACUUUAUCAAGGUUGACCUCGGAUCAGGUAGGAAUACCCGCUGAACUUAA